rnacentral:lncRNA from 1 species
CAUAUUCUCAAAGAGUUGAGAAUUUGAGAUAUUUAUCAUUGAUAGUUAAUUCCUAAAUUUCUCCUGAUCAUAGGAUCAUUAUAAAGAUGGUAAUUGAUCUAGAUAGACCAGUGCAUGGAUCGCUUUCUUCGGACAGAUGGGUCUUGAGUCUGUAGUAUAGAGACUCUGGAGUGAGAGUGUAAGUAGUUGUUAGAGAACAACUAGCACUGAGCGUGACCAACAUGAGAAGUCACAUGGAUGUCUGCUCACUCGUUAGUGACUUUCUCGAUACUGCAAUUAUAUGAAUGGUUGUUUGACCUAAGAUGAUACUACUGC